rnacentral:misc_RNA from 1 species
AACGCAUAUUGCACUUUCUGGUAUUCCGGAAAGUAUGCCUGUUUGAGGGUCAGUUAAAUAAAAAUCGGUGUUGUUACUGCUUUUUGUGGUGACGCGUCGGAAUUGAGUCGUCUUAUCCUUCGGCUAAGUGACUUAAAAUUUUGUAUGAUUUUCGAACGUAUUUAAAUUGCUUACGUACGUUUGAGAUAUCGAAUGUUUAUUAGGUUCGGUCAUCCUCAUGACUCGCGCCUAUAAUUUUUUCAUUAAAUGACCUCAAAUCAGGUAAGAAUACCCGCUGAACUUAA